UGUGGUAAGUAUUAGAUGCACUGUGAUGAAGCCUCUUUAAAAAAAAAAACUUAAAUAUAACUUGCAGCUGUAGUGUUGGCAGUUGGAGCAGGAGCAGCUGUAAACAGAACUGGAGAAAAGCUACGCAGAAGCACACGGAAGAGGAGCAUUAGCUCUGAUGAGAAUUUAACUUAAAAUCUGGUUCUGCUGGUUCCUGGCACUCUUUGCCACUCUUCCUGGAAGCUCUUCCAAAGUGGUUUUCUCACAAAUUCUUCAGCAAGUAGCGAGAUUAGUCAAGGUAAUCUUGACUGAUCAAAAAUUUCUGUCACGUAUGCUAUGUAUGUUGAUUGAGCUUACAUAACAUGAAGAACAGAGAGAAGGAAUGGUAAUAUUCGAUCGCUGCUUUGUAUUUAUGUUUAAGGCACUUAGAGUGUGGUAUUGAGACUAUCUCAUGUUUUCUAUACAUUUAACUAUGGGGUUUCUUACUUUUAAAGAUGAACAAUACUUUUAAUAAAAAAGGCAGUAAUGACAACGAGGUGAAAUGGGGUAAUAGCCUAACUCCGUAGUCUUGAAACUAUGACCCAAGGGAAUUAUGGCCUAAUAUCAGAAGGUACUUUGGCACCGCUGGCAAAAGAAGGGAUAUGGAGAGCAAUGUGAACCAUAAAGCGCCUCUAUUAUUUCAAAUCAAUCACUUACCUCUCCACUGACAGAUGCAUCGAGACCCUUGAUGCAGCUUCACCAGGGCCAUCUGAGAAACAACUGAUCAGAACUGUAUCUACUUUGGACAGUGCAUCACUCCCUGGUGGAAUCUAUAUGAUACUACAAAAGUGGUUGAUUCCGAACAUUUUACUAGCUCCUGGAUACUGUGGACAAGUCACUUGACCUCUCUGGGACGCAUCUUCCUCAUCUAUAAAAUGGGGGUAAGACAGACUAUGAGCCCUUUGUGGAGCAAAGCCUGUAUCUGAUCUCUUAACCUUUUAUGUACCCCAGUGCUUAGCACAUAGUAAGUGUAGAAGCAAUGAUUAAACACGAGAAGCAACAUGGCCUAGUGGACUCGGGCCUGUGAGUCGGAGUACCUGGAUUCAAAUCCUGGCUCUGCCACUUGCCCUCUUUGGGACCUUAGUCAAGUCACUUCGCUUCUCCGUGCCUCAGUUUCCUCAUCUGUAAAAUGAUGAUUCAGUACCCGUUCUC
rnacentral:lncRNA from 1 species